rnacentral:rRNA from 1 species
AAUCUUCCGCAAUGGACGAAAGUCUGACGGAGCAACGCCGCGUGAGUGAUGAAGGUUUUCGGAUCGUAAAACUCUGUUGUCAGGGAAGAACAAGUAUCGGAGUAACUGCCGAUACCUUGACAGUACCUGACCAGAAAGCCACGGCUAACUACGUGCCAGCAGCCGCGGUAAUACGUAGGUGGCAAGCGUUGUCCGGAAUUAUUGGGCGUAAAGCGCGCGCAGGCGGUUUCUUAAGUCUGAUGUGAAAGCCCACGGCUCAACCGUGGAGGGUCAUUGGAAACUGGGAAACUUGAGUGCAGAAGAGGAGAGUGGAAUUCCACGUGUAGCGGUGAAAUGCGUAGAGAUGUGGAGGAACACCAGUGGCGAAGGCGACUCUCUGGUCUGUAACUGACGCUGAGGCGCGAAAGCGUGGGUAGCGAAC